rnacentral:rRNA from 1 species
CGAACGCUGGCGGCGUGCUUAACACAUGCACGUCGAACGGAAAGGCCCCUUUGGGGGUACUCGAGUGGCGAACGGGUGCGUAACACGUGAGUAACCUGCCCUUGACUUCGGGAUAACUUCAGGAAACUGGGGCUAAUACCGGAUAGGAAUCCUUGCUGCAUGGUGGGGGUUGGAAAGCUUCGGCGGUUUUGGAUGGACUCGCGGCUUAUCAGCUUGUUGGUGGGGUAGUGGCUUACCAAGGCUUUGACGGGUAGCCGGCCUGAGAGGGCGACCGGCCACAUUGGGACUGAGAUACGGCCCAGACUCCUACGGGAGGCAGCAGUGGGGAAUAUUGCACAAGGGGCGGAAGCCUGAUGCAGCAACGCCGCGUGCGGGAUGACGGCCUUCGGGUUGUAAACCGCUUUCAGCAGGGGCGAAGCUUGUGGUGACGGUACCUGCAGAAGAAGCACCGGCUAACUACGUG